rnacentral:piRNA from 1 species
UGUCAGUCUUCUUGAUUAGGU